rnacentral:rRNA from 1 species
AGGGUUUGAUCCUGGCUCAGAACGAACGCUGGCGGCAUGGAUUAGGCAUGCAAGUCGAACGGAGAAGCAGAUGCUUGCAUCUGUGGAUUAGUGGCGAAAGGGUGAGUAACGCGUGAAUAAUCUGCCCCUAAGUUGGGAAUAGCCUCGGGAAACUGGGAUUAAUACCGAAUGUGGUCCUCUAUCGCAUGUUAGAGUGACUAAAGAUUUAUUGCUUAGGGAUGAGUUCGCGUUCCAUUAGCUAGUUGGUAAGGUAACGGCUUACCAAGGCGACGAUGGAUAGCUGGUCUGAGAGGAUGACCAGCCACACUGGGACUGAGACACUGCCCAGACUCCUACGGGAGGCUGCAGUCGAGAAUCUUCCGCAAUGGGCGAAAGCCUGACGGAGCAAUGCCGCGUGCAGGAUGAAGGCCUUUGGGUUGUAAACUGCUGUCACCAGGGAAGAACAUAAUGACGGUACCUGGAGAGGAAGCACCGGCUAACUACGUGCCAGCAGCCGCGGUAAUACGUAGGGUGCAAGCGUUGUUCGGAUUUAUUGGGCGUAAAGGGUCCGCAGGGGGUCCGCCAAGUCUGAUGUGAAAUCCCGUGGCUCAACCACGGAACUGCAUUGGAAACUAGCAGACUAGAGUAUUGGAGAGGUAAGUGGAAUUUCUGGUGGAGCGGUGGAAUGCGUAGAUAUCAGAAAGAACACCGAGAGCGAAGGCAGCUUACUGGACAAUUACUGACCCUCAGGGACGAAAGCAUGGGUAGCAAACAGGAUUAGAUACCCUGGUAGUCCAUGCCGUAAACGUUGUAUACUAGAUGUGGGAGGAUUAAGCCCCUUCCGUGUCCAAGCUAACGCGAUAAGUAUACCGCCUGGGGACUACGGCCGCAAGGCUAAAACUCAAAGGAAUUGACGGGGACCCGCACAAGCGGUGGAGCAUGUGGCUUAAUUCGAGGCAACGCGAAGAACCUUACCUGGGUUUGACAUAUUUCUGACAACCGUAGAGAUACGGCUUUCCUUCGGGACAGAUUUACAGGUGCUGCAUGGCUGUCGUCAGCUCGUGUCGUGAGAUGUUCGGUUAAGUCCGGCAACGAGCGCAACCCAUGUCGUUAGUUGCAAACAGUUCGGCUGUGCACUCUAGCGAGACUGCCCGUGUCAAGCGGGAGGAAGGCGUGGACGACGUCAAGUCCGUAUGGCCCUUAUGCCCAGGGCUGCACACGUGCUACAAUGGCCGGAACAAUGGGACGCAAUGCCGCGAGGCGGAGCAAAUCCUCAACAUCGGCCCCAGUUCGGAUUGGAGUCUGCAACUCGACUCCAUGAAGUCGGAAUCGCUAGUAAAGGCGUAUCAGCUACGACGCCUUGAAUACGUUCCCGGGUCUUGUACACACCGCCCGUCACAUCACGGAAGCUGACUGCACCCGAAGUCGUUGACCCAACUCUUUACUGAGAGGGAGACGCCGAAGGUGUGGUGGGUAACUGGGAUGAAGUCGUAACAAGGUAGCCG